rnacentral:rRNA from 1 species
CCGGCUUCAACCGGGGAGGGUCAUUUGGAAACUUGGGGAACUUUGAGUGCAGAAGAGGAGAGUGGAAUUUCCACGUUGUAGCGGUGAAAUUGCGUAGAGAUGUGGAGGAACACCAGUGGCGAAGGCGACUCUCUGGUCUGUAACUGACGCUGAGGAGCGAAAGCGUGGGGAGCGAACAGGAUUAGAUACCCUGGUAGUCCACGCCGUAAACGAUGAGUGCUAAGUGUUAGGGGGUUUCCGCCCCUUAGUGCUGCAGCUAACGCAUUAAGCACUCCGCCUGGGGAGUACGGUCGCAAGACUGAAACUCAAAGGAAUUGACGGGGGCCCGCACAAGCGGUGGAGCAUGUGGUUUAAUUCGAAGCAACGCGAAGAACCUUACCAGGUCUUGACAUCCUCUGACAAUCCUAGAGAUAGGACGUCCCCUUCGGGGGCAGAGUGACAGGUGGUGCAUGGUUGUCGUCAGCUCGUGUCGUGAGAUGUUGGGUUAAGUCCCGCAACGAGCGCAACCCUUGAUCUUAGUUGCCAGCAUUCAGUUGGGCACUCUAAGGUGACUGCCGGUGACAAACCGGAGGAAGGUGGGGAUGACGUCAAAUCAUCAUGCCCCUUAUGACCUGGGCUACACACGUGCUACAAUGGACAGAACAGAGGGCAGCGAAACCGCGAGGUUAGCCAAUCCCACAAAUCUGUUCU